AUUGAACGCUGGCGGCAGGCUUAACACAUGCAAGUCGAGCGAGCGGCGGACGGGUGAGUAAUGUCUGGGCCACUGCCUGAUGGAGGGGGAUAACUACUGGAAACGGUAGCCAAUACCGCAUACCAUCAGCUCGGCCCUGAUGGGAUUAGCUAGUAGGUGGGGUAAUGGCUCACCUAGGCCACGAUCCCUAGCUGGUCUGAGAGGAGGACGAGCCACACUGGAACGGAGAAACGGCCCAGAUUCUAACGGGAGGAAGCAGUGGGGAAUAUUGGACAAUGGGCGAAAGCCUGAUGCAGCCAUGCCGCGGGUGUGAAGAAGGCCUUCGGGUUGUAAAGCACUUUCAGAGAGGAGGCGGUACUCACAGAAGAAGCACCGGCUAACUCCGUGCCAGCAGCCGCGGUAAUUC
rnacentral:rRNA from 1 species